CCUGGUGUCAGCCGCCGCGGUAAUACCAGCUCUCCGAGUGGUGGGGAUGCUUAUUGGGCCUAAAGCAUUCGUAGCCGGUUGGGCAAGUCCUCCGUUAAAUCCAGCGAUUCAAUCGUUGGACUGCAGGGGAUACUGUCCGGCUAGGGGGCGGAAGAGGCCGACGGUAUUCUCGGAGUAGGGGUGAAAUCCUAUAAUCCCGGGAGGACCACCAGUGGCGAAGGCUGUCGGCUAGAACGCGCUCGACGGUGAGGGACGAAAGCUGGGGGAGCGAACCGGAUUAGAUACCCGGGUAGUCCCAGCUGUAAACGAUGCGGGCUAGGUGUUGGGGUGGCUACGAGCCACUUCAGUGCCGCAGGGAAGCCAUUAA
rnacentral:rRNA from 1 species